rnacentral:rRNA from 1 species
UACGAAGGGGGCUAGCGUUGCUCGGAAUUACUGGGCGUAAAGGGCGCGUAGGCGGACAGUUUAGUCAGAGGUGAAAGCCCAGGGCUCAACCCUGGAAGUGCACUCGAAACUGAACGGCUUGAAUAUGGAAGAGGGUCGCGGAAUUCCCGGUGUAGAGGUGAAAUUCGUAGAUAUCGGGAGGAACACCAGUGGCGAAGGCGGCGACCUGGGCCAAUAUUGACGCUGAGGUGCGAAAGCGUGGGGAGCAAACAGG